AAAGAUGAAAUUGCUCCGACUUUAAGAAAAUCGUUCUUUGUUGCUCAAAAGUUGCAUCUCCUUCUUUUGGUGCAAGAUAAGAACAUUGUCAUAUUACGUGAAGUCUUGCUUGAGAAUGCUUCGGGCACCUGGCUGUAGAAGGAAGAAUAGAAAUUGCAUUAACAAAAUCCUAAUUCUAAUAGAAUAUUAACAAUGCUCUAAUUUGACUAUAAUAAUGCUAAGCAAGCUUAAUCAAAUUCAAAGAAACCUCAAAGAAAUUUCAAAUAAAUAAUAAGAAUUCUUAAAGAAAUAUUAGAAGGAUCACAAAUAUCACUCAAAUACAUCUCAAUUUAAUCUUAAUUUAAUUCUAGUUAAAAUCCUAUUGAACUUCAUUCAAACUUUAGGCCAAAACUAAUUAAAUCUUAAAUCCUAAUAAAAUCCUAAACUCUAAAUCAAAUCCUAAACAAAACUUAAACCAAAUCCCAACUAAAUCCUAAAUCCUAAACCAAAUCCUAAACCAAAUCCUAAACCCUAAAUAAAAUCCUAACUAAACCCUAAACCAAAUCCUAAUCAAACUCUAAACCAAAUCCUAACCAAAUCUAAAUACUAAAUCAAACCCUAAUUCUAAACCAAACCCUAAUCCAAACCCUAAUCAAACCUUAAACCAAAUCCUAAAUCAAAUCCUAACCAAACCCUAAACCAAACCCUAGUAAUUCCUAUAACAGAUUUAAACCUCAAUAAC
rnacentral:lncRNA from 1 species